UGGGGAAUCUUAGACAAUGGGGGCAACCCUGAUCUAGCCAUGCCGCGUGAGUGAUGAAGGCCUUAGGGUUGUAAAGCUCUUUCAGCUGGGAAGAUAAUGACGGUACCAGCAGAAGAAGCCCCGGCUAACUCCGUGCCAGCAGCCGCGGUAAUACGGAGGGGGCUAGCGUUGUUCGGAAUUACUGGGCGUAAAGCGCACGUAGGCGGACUGGAAAGUUGGGGGUGAAAUCCCGGGGCUCAACCGCGGAACUGCCUUCAAAACUAUCAGUCUGGAGUUCGAGAGAGGUGAGUGGAAUUCCGAGUGUAGAGGUGAAAUUCGUAGAUAUUCGGAGGAACACCAGUGGCGAAGGCGGCUCACUGGCUCGAUACUGACGCUGAGGUGCGAAAGCGUGGGGAGCAAACA
rnacentral:rRNA from 1 species